rnacentral:rRNA from 1 species
CAGUCGCCGCGGUAACACGAGGGGGGCAAGCGUUGUUCGGAAUUAUUGGGCGUAAAGGGUGCGUAGGCGGCCUAAUAAGUCAGUGGUGAAAGCCUCCAGCUUAACUGGAGAACUGCCAUUGAUACUGUUAGGCUUGGGUAUACUUGAGGUAGGCGGAAUUGACAGUGUAGCGGUGAAAUGCAUAGAUAUUGUCAAGAACACCAAUUGCGAAGGCAGCUUACUAAAUUAUAACUGACGCUGAGGCACGAAAGUGUGGGUAUCAAACAGGAUUAGAUACCCGAGUAGUCCCUGUCUCUUAUAA